rnacentral:rRNA from 1 species
AGGACGAAUGCUGGCGGCGUGCUUAACACAUGCAAGUCGAGCGGAAAGGCCCUUCGGGGUACUCGAGCGGCGAACGGGUGAGUAACACGUGAGUAAUCUGCCCCUAGCUCUGGGAUAGCUCCGGGAAAACCGGGAUUAAUACCGGAUACGACCACUUUAGACAUCUGUUGUGGUGGAAAGAAUUUUGGCUAGGGAUGAGCUCGCGGCCUAUCAGCUUGUUGGUGGGGUAAUGGCCUACCAAGGCGACGACGGGUAGCCGGCCUGAGAGGGCGACCGGCCACACUGGGACUGAGACACGGCCCAGACUCCUACGGGAGGCAGCAGUGGGGAAUAUUGCGCAAUGGGCGAAAGCCUGACGCAGCGACGCCGCGUGGGGGAUGAAGGCCUUCGGUUGUAAACCCCUUUCAGCAGGGACGAAGCGAAAGUGACGGUACCUGCAGAAGAAGCGCCGGCUAACUACGCGCCAGCAGCCGC